rnacentral:rRNA from 1 species
GAUGAACGCUGGCGGCGUGCCUAAUACAUGCAAGUCGAGCGAACAGACGAGGAGCUUGCUCCUCUGACGUUAGCGGCGGACGGGUGAGUAACACGUGGAUAACCUACCUAUAAGACUGGGAUAACUUCGGGAAACCGGAGCUAAUACCGGAUAAUAUAUUGAACCGCAUGGAUCAAUAGUGAAAGACGGUUUUGCUGUCACUUAUAGAUGGAUCCGCGCCGCAUUAGCUAGUUGGUAAGGUAACGGCUUACCAAGGCAACGAUGCGUAGCCGACCUGAGAGGGUGAUCGGCCACACUGGAACUGAGACACGGUCCAGACUCCUACGGGAGGCAGCAGUAGGGAAUCUUCCGCAAUGGGCGAAAGCUUGACGGAGCAACGCCGCGUGAGUGAUGAAGGUCUUCGGAUCGUAAAACUCUGUUAUUAGGGAAGAACAAAUGUGUAAGUAACUAUGCACGUCUUGACGGUACCUAAUCAGAAAGCCACGGCUAACUACGUG